rnacentral:rRNA from 1 species
AAUGGGCGAAAGCCUGACGCAGCAACGCCGCGUGAGUGAUGAAGGCCUUCGGGUCGUAAAGCUAUGUCAGAAGGGAAGAAAUGGAAGGGUGUUAAUACCAUCUUUUCUUGACGGUACCUUCAAAGGAAGCACCGGCUAACUCCGUGCCAGCAGCCGCGGUAAUACGGAGGAUCCUAGCGUUAUCCGGAUUUACUGGGUNUAAAGGGUGCGUAGGCGGGGCGCUAAGUCAGCGGUGAAAGGCGGGGGCUCAACCGUCGGAAUGCCGUUGCUACUGGCGUCCUUGAAUGCGGUCAAGGCGGGUGGAAUGCGUGGUGUAGCGGUGAAAUGCAUAGAUAUCACGCAGAACGCCGAUAGCGAAGGCAGCCCGCCGGGCCGUGAUUGACGCUGAGGCACGAAAGCGUGGGGAUCGAA